AGGACUAACGCUGGCGGCGUGCCUAACGCAUGCAAGUCGAACGAGGUAGCAAUACCUAGUGGCAGACGGGUGAGUAACGCGUGGUCAACCUACCUCUUAGUGGGGGAUAACUAGCCGAAAGGUUAGCUAAUACCGCAUACGAUCGUCGCGAGGCAUCUCGUGACGAUGAAAGGAGCAAUUCGCUAAGAGAGGGGACUGCGUCCCAUUAGUUAGUUGGUGGGGUAAUGGCCCACCAAGACUCCGAUGGGUAGCUGGCUUGAGAGAGCGACCAGCCACACUGGAACUGAGACACGGUCCAGACUCCUACGGGAGGCAGCAGUGAGGAAUUUUCCGCAAUGGGCGCAAGCCUGACGGAGCGACGCCGCGUGUGGGAAGAAGGCCUUCGGGUCGUAACCACUGUCGAAGGGGACGAUAUUGACGGUACCGUUGGAGGAAGCCCGGCUAACUACGUGCCAGCAGCCGC
rnacentral:rRNA from 1 species